rnacentral:rRNA from 1 species
GAUGAACGCUGGCGGCGUGCCUAAUACAUGCAAGUCGAGCGAAUGGAUUAAGAGCUUGCUCUUAUGAAGUUAGCGGCGGACGGGUGAGUAACACGUGGGUAACCUGCCCAUAAGACUGGGAUAACUCCGGGAAACCGGGGCCAAUACCGGAUAACAUUUUGAACCGCAUGGUGCGAAAUUGAAAGGCGGCUUCGGCUAUCACUUAUGGAUGGACCCGCGUCCCAUUAGCUAGUUGGUGAGGUAACGGCUCACCAAGGCAACGAUGCGUAGCCGACCUGAGAGGGUGAUCGGCCACACUGGGACUGAGACACGGCCCAGACUCCUACGGGAGGCAGCAGUAGGGAAUCUUCCGCAAUGGACGAAAGUCUGACGGAGCAACGCCGCGUGAGUGAUGAAGGCUUUCGGGUCGUAAAACUCUGUUGUUAGGGAAGAACAAGUGCUAGUUGAAUAAGCUGACACCUUGACGGUACCUAACCAGAAAGCCACGGCUAACUACGUGCCAGCCGCCGCAGUAA